AUUGAACGCUGGCGGCAGGCCUAACACAUGCAAGUCGAACGAGCGGCGGACGGGUGAGUAAUGUAUGGGAAACUGCCUGAUGGAGGGGGAUAACUACUGGAAACGGUAGCUAAUACCGCAUACCAUCAGAUGAACCCAUAUGGGAUUAGCUAGUAGGUGGGGUAACGGCUCACCAAGGCGACGAUCCCUAGCUGGUCUGAGAGGAUGACCAGCCACACUGGAACUGAGACACGGUCCAGACUCCUACGGGAGGCAGUAGUGGGGAAUAUUGCACAAUGGGCGCAAGCCUGAUGCAGCCAUGCCGCGUGUAUGAAGAAGGCCUUCGGGUUGUAAAGUACUUUCAGUCGGGAGGCGUUACCCGCAGAAGAAGCACCGGCUAACUCCGUGCCAGCAGCCGCGGUAAUUC
rnacentral:rRNA from 1 species